rnacentral:lncRNA from 1 species
UGGGGAAGCCCUGAGAAGAAGGGCCGGUGGUGGUAGGAUAGGGUUUGGUAAAGUCUCAAGAAGGCCGGUGGUGGUGGGGUGGUGACGGCGUGGGUUUGGGGAAAUCUCGAAAAAAAAGACCAGCGGUGAUGAGAUUAGGAGAGAAGAAGAGAGCUCGGCCCAGCAGGUGGGGGGUUUGGGAGGAGAGAAGGAUGGCCGAUAGAUGGAGCUUCUCCCUUGAAUG